rnacentral:miRNA from 1 species
UCUGGCUUAUGCCUAGCUUUC